CCUCGGUUCCUCGGGUCCGAACCUACACAGGUGGACUCAAAUGAGGGACCAAACAUACAUGAACAUGACUCUAAAAUACUCUCCAAAAACCCCCUAAAACAUCACAAACAUGCAUAGAAAAUCAUGCAAAGGAAGGCUGAACAGGGCACUUUCGGCGGCAGGUUCGGCGGCCGAAAGUCCCUCCAGAGCCAAAAGUCAUGCACCUUCAGCGGCACUUUCGGCGGCCGAAGGUUCCUUCCAGGGACGAAACUCAUGCAUGUUCAGCGGUACCUUCGGCGGCCGAAACUCCCUUCUAGAGCCGAAAGUCCACUUUCGGGGGCAGGGUUCUGCAGCCAAAGGCUGGCCUCCACAGACAGGUUCGGCGGCCGAAAGUCCCUUCGGCUGCCGAACCUGAGUUCUUCCAAAGGGCAGAACUCAGCCUCCACAAUGCACAUUUGCCUCCGAAACCAUUCCAACUCAAAACCAACACUUCCAAAACAUGCAUACAUAUUUCCAUUAGCAAAAAGGGGUCUUAAACUAGCCUAAACUCCAACCAAAACACAUCAAACAUAUAUAUACAACAUACAUUGCUCAAAACUCAACAUUAACCCAUAAACUCAAUAAUAACCUAAACAUGCAUUUCUACCCUACAAAUCUUAUAAAACUUGUUUAAAACAUAGAAUGAGCUAAAGAUCUACUCUUACCUCUUGAAGAUCGAGAGGAGAGGCGAUCUAACUCGGAAAUGGGGGAGAUCUAACUCCUUGGGUCUCCAAGCCUCAAAACUUGCUCUUUUUGCUCAAAUAUCUUCAAACCAAGGUAAAACUUGUUAAAACUCGAAAGAUUGGAGGAAAACAUCAAAAAUCAACCAUGGGAGAGCAUGGACUCACCGUUGGCCGAAAACGGGGAGAAAGCUCGCCCGUUUCGGCCAUGGAGCCCUAUUAUAGGGGCUGGCCAGACCACCUUCGGAAGUCUAAAGUGCCUCCAAAACUCAUGCAAGUUCGGCGGCCGAACAUGAGGUUCGACGGCCGAACUUGAGCCUCUUUUGGAAGCCUAACUUACCCUCCUAAACUAUCCCAUGUUCGGUGGCCGAAUUUGAGGUUUGGCGGCCGAACCUAGAAAUGCCUCCAUGGUCUUUUUCAUUCAAAACUCAACUUCUUUCUUACUUAAAAUCAUAAAACACAUUAAAAUAUUUUAUGAAAACAUGAUUUUACCCUUCUAGAGGUUUUCGACAUCCGAGAUUCCACCGGACGGUAGGAAUUCUGAUACCGGAGUCUAGCCGGGUAUUACAUAUUCUGCCUAAUUUAAUUUCUUUGAUCAUCAAAAUAUUUGAAGGAAAUUCUGCAGAAUCAAUUUAAGAACAGAGGAUUAAUUUAGACUAAAGAAACAACAAUAUUCAAUGCUUCUGCUUGAAACACGAUAUUCCUUCUGUUGCUUAUUGAAUUCAAGAGGUGCCUAUUAUAUAGGCUCGUUACAUGUGGAAGAGGAAAACAAACACCAGAAAAAUAGCACACGUUCUUGACGUGUUUUCAUGAACUGAAAAGAAAAAACAACAAACAAACUAAUUGAACGUGUAGAGAUACUGGCAGAAGGAUAGGGGAGCCGUAACUGAAAGUUGAAUCAUUCUCCUACAUCCCCCCUUGAUUCAAAUUUGCAGACACCAAUUUUAGCCCUUAAGUAGUCAUGCUUGCUUCGAGCAAGAGACUUGAUCAGUAUAUCAACAGCUUGUUCAUUGGUACUACAGUAUUUUAGAAUUAUACUUCCUUCAGCUACAAGCUCACGAAUAAAAUGAGCUCUAAUAUCAAUGUGCUUAGCUCUCCCAUGAUAAACUGGAUUCCUUGUCAUUGCUAUCGUUGAUUUACUAUCACACCAUAUCUCAGUUGCUUUCUCUUGCUCUUGCCCAAGGUCUGACAGCAUUCUUCUCAACCACACCGCCUGACACGCUGAAGAGGUUGCUGCAAUAUACUCAGCUUCUGAGGAUAAUAAUGCGAUGGACGCCUGUUUUUUUGAGCUCCAUGAUAUGGCUCCUGAUCCGAGACUGAAAAUAUACCCUGAAGUACUUUUUCUAUCCUCCUUACAGCCUGCCCAAUCACUAUCCGUAUACCCAAACAAAUCAGAGCUAUUUUUCUGUUCAUACCAAAUCCCAUAAUCCACAGUUUCAGCCACAUAUCUCAGAAUCCUUUUUGCUGCUCCAAGGUGAUUUCUUGAGGGAAAGUGCAUGAACCUUGAGAUAACUCCCAUAGAGAAGGCAAUGUCUGGUCGUGUAUGAGUCAAAUAAAUCAAACCACCAACCAAACUUCUAAAAAAACCCUCAUCUGCCUGUUUUGUACCAUCAUUAAGCUAGAGUUUUUCAUUUGUGUUCAUGAGAGUAGGAGCAGUCUUGCAAUUCUCCAUUUUGAAACGCUGAAGUAAAUUCUCAGCAUAUUUCUUUUGGGAGAUGAAUAUUCCUCCUUCAACCUGUUUUACUUCUAUUCCAAGGAAAAAAUGCAGUAAACCCAGGUCAGUCAUUUCAAAUUCUUUUUUCAUAUUUGAUCAAAAAUCUUCCAAUAAUGAUGUGGAGGAGCUCAUGUAGAUCAUGUCAUCUACAUAUAGACAGACAAACAGAGAACUUUUAUCCUGAUUCUUCAUAUAGAGCGUGGGCUCAUUCUUGUUUCUCUCGAACCCAUUUGAUAAGAAAUAGGCAUCAAUUCUUGAGUACCAAGCUCGAGGUGCUUGCUUUAAUCCGUAUAGUGCCUUCCUCAGCUUGUAAACAUGUUCUUCUUUUCCACAGAUUGCAAAACCUUCAGGUUGAUUGACAUACACUUCUUCUUCUCAUUCUCCAUUUAAGAAGGCUGAUUUCAUGUCAAACUGGUACACAAGCCAACCUUGUUUUGCUGCUAGAGCAAGAAGAGUCCUUACUGUUUCAAACCUUGCAACAGGAGAAAAAGUUUCUUCAUAGUCCACUCCUUGCCGCUAUGAAUACCCCUUGGCCACCAACCGAGCUUUAUGCUUUUGUACACUCCCAUUUGCAUUGAACUUAGUUUUGAAAACCCACUUUACACCGAUUGGUUUCUUGCCUUCAGGAAGUGUUGUUAGCUCCCAGGUUUUAUUCCUUUCAAUUGCUUCAAGUUCCUCGUGCAUGGCUAGAACCCAUUGCUUCUUGCUUGCUGCUAAUGAAAUAGGAUCUGCAAUAUACAAAGCAUGAGUAGUUUCAUAGAUUUCUUGGAGUGAUCGUACUCGUCUCGGUGGUGAUUCAUCAGUUGAACUCGAGCUUUGAGGGCUUGUUGAAGAGCUUCCCGAAGCAAUUGAAGUUCUCGAAGGACUUGCAACAGAAGACUCCGACGAUGCCGAGACUCCUGGAGAAUUCAAUUGGGUUUGUGGUUGUUCCUCCAUGAGUUGUUCCUCAUGGAUUUCUGGGAUCUCAAAGUGAAUGCUUCCUUUUUCAUCCUCAGUCCAAUUCCAUCGCGCUUCUUCAUCAAAAAUGACAUUUCUACUGAUAAUAAUAUUCCCAUUGAUGGGAUUGUACAAUCUGUACGCUUUAGCAUUAAUGCAAUAUCUCACAAAAAUACACUUUGUUGACUUUUGAUCAAGCUUCCCACGUUUAUGAGCCUCAACAAACACAUAUGCAAGGCAGCCAAAGAUUCUUAAGUGACUUACCCCGAGGUCUCCUGCCCGUCCACACUUCAUACGGUGUUCGAUUCGGUACUGCCUGUGUUGGUGAGAUAUUCAAAAUGUAUACUGAAGUGGUCACUGCUUCCCUCCAAAAUUGAGUUGGUAACUCUUUAGCCUGCAACAUAGUUCUGGCCAUCUCUACCACAGUCUUGUUCUUCCUUUCGGCUACUCCGUUUUGCUCAGGAGUGUAUGGGGCCGUGAGCUCUCUAUGAAUUCCAUGUUCUUCACAAAAACUGUUAAACUCUUUGGACGUGAAUUCUCCUCCUCUAUCAGUCCUUAGUGUCUUGAUGCAUUCUCCAAUCUGCUUUUCUACCAGUACCUUAAACUUCUUGAAAGCAUUUAAGACCUCCGAUUUGAAGUGUAGGAAGUACACCCAGCUCAUCCUACUAUAAUCAUUUGUGAACAACAAAAAAUACCUACUUCCACCAAGUGAUUCAGUUCUCAUAGGACCACAAACAUCAGAUGUAAGAGCUCAAGAUUGCUAGUGGCCCUCCAUGAUUUACCCAUAGGAAAAGACUUCCUACUUUGUUUUCCAUAAACACAAGCUUCACAUAAAUCAAUAUAUUCAACAGCAGGCAGGCCAGACACCAUAUCUUUCUUAUACAAUAAUUGCAGACCCUUUAUAUUUAAAUGUCCAUAUCUAUGAUGCCAAAUUCUAGAUUUAUUUUUCCUUUCCACCAUUAAUACCCUUUUUUCAAUACUUGAUAUGUUAAGUGGAAACAAUUUGUUCUUUGUCAUAUUUACCUCGACAAGAAUUUGCUUAGUUUGCUGAUUCUUGAUCAAGCACUUGGAGCGUUCAAACAGCACAGAGAAGCCACUGGUCACAAGCUGUCCAACACUGAGGAGAUUCUGGGUUAGGCUUGGAACAAAGAAGACUUCAUGUAACAGCCUUGUUUCAGCUCCAUUUUGGAUAGCAAUUGUCCCUUUGCCUUCUACUUACAUCUGCUUAUCAUCACCAAGUCUCACCUUGAGCUUGUAGUUCUCAUCCAGCUCUUUGAAUAGUGAACGUAUGCCUGUCAUAUGAUUAGAGCAUCCACUAUCCAAAAACCAGAUAUCAUCUGAGGUCUCAUUGAGCUCAAGAUCAGCCAUAAAGAGUUUGAACUCAUCCUCUCCAUCAUCUUCUUCUUCAUUUGCUUCUUCUACAUAGUUAACCUGACUUGCUCUUUUCCAACAAUUUUCCUUGAUGUGCCCAAAACGUUUGCAGUAAUGGCAUUGGAUAGGUUGCCUCUGCCCAUCUCGUUGCCCUCGUCCUCGACUUACACCUCUUCCUCGGCCUCUCAGAUCAUUUUGCCUGCUAUCACCACGUGUGAUUCUUUCCAACGUUGAGGUUUCUCGCUUUAUAUGAAAGGCUUUCUCUUCCUCAUGUUCUGAACUACGAUUCAAUCUUUCUUCAUGAGCUAGCAAUGAACCCAUUAGUUCAUCAAACGUAAAUGUUGACAAAUCCUUGGAUUCUUCAAUUGCAGUAACUACGUGAUCAAAUUUAGGAGUCAAGCUUCUUAACACCUUUGCCACCACAGUUGAGUCUAAGCAUUGUUCCCAAAGACCUCUCAUCUUGCUCACCACAGUCGAAACCCUGGAGAGGUAGUCUUGCAUAGAUUCUUCAUGUUUCAUCAUUGAAAUUUCAAAUUCUCGCCGUAAAGACUGCAACUUGACCAUAAUUACUUUCUUAUCUCCUUGAAAUUCCUUCUGCAAGAUUUUCCAGGCCUUUUGAGAUGUUGACGCUACCAUGAUUUUGGAGAAUAUGCUCUCAUGGACAGCUUGCUGGAUAAAGAAGAGUGCUUUUGAAUCCCAUUUUUUGUUCUCUUUCAAUCGAGCUUCAUCAUCUGAAUCAGCAUAUCCAUUCUCCACCAGAUCCCAUAAGUCCUGAGACUUGAACAGCGUUUUCAUUUUGAUGCUCCAAAACUCAUAUUUUUCUCCAGUAAAGACUGGAAUCAAAGGUUGAGAAGCAGUCAUUGCAUUUGAACUUGCCAUUGAUGCAAACAGAAGACACAUAUAACUCUCCCUCUCCCUCACGUGUUUCCCAACAAAACUCAACUUUUCUGUAACGACCCGGAAACCGGACCGCUACCGGCGCUAGGAUUCAGGUCGGCUUAAGGCCGCCGGAACCCGUAGCAAGCCAAACAUACAUCCUGUGAACCUGUUCAAUCCCAUACAUGAACCAAAACAUACAUAAAAAUUAAAACUUUUCUUUCAUUCAAACAUUUCUUUACCCAGCCUAGCCUGUGCAUGCAUAACCAUAACAUAAACCCCCCCUCAUUGGAGUUCUCAACAAAUACUCCAAUGGGAUACAUAACAUGUAUUAGGCUUGGGUUACAUAAACAUCAUAAAACAUUUAUCUCAUGUAUUUAAGGGAUUACAACAGACUCUAGUCAAGCACACUAUAAAACUUACAUUACAUUACAUAACAUACUUUUACAUUACAACCAAACCAUGUCCACUUCUAUGCUAUUACAGAGACUUCUCUUACUCUUGCUGACUUCUCUAUCUACUCUGCACCUGCAAGACUGGGGUCAGGGGAGAGGGGUGAGCUAAAAAGCCCAGUGAGCAAAAGGUAAAAACAUGAUAUUAAUUCCUCCAUUUUUAGGUAUUUUAUUCUCCAUUUUAUUAUUAACAUUUGCUUUAAUUCCACACUUUUUAGGUAUAUUAUUAUUCAUUUUAUUAAUAGCAUUAAAUAACAUAACUUUUACUUUACAUGCUUUCAUGAAAUGCAACACAUCAUAUUUAAUCACAUAAAGGAUAGUAUUGUCACCAUUAGUCCUCACAUCUCCAAGUGCCAGGGGCGUAGAAUGGGCCUCGCUGGUCUUUCUCUUACAUAACAUACAUAUCAUAACAUUCCAAAGUGCCAGGGGCGUAGAAUGGGCCUCGCUGGUCUUUCUCUUACAUAAUGCCAGGGGCGUAGAAUGGGCCUCACUGGUCUUCCAUAACAAAUCAUCAUAACAUAACAUUAGAGGACUAUGGAUCACCCAAUAACCAUCCACAUCAACAUCAAAUUAUGCAAUGCAACAUAUUCGUGAAUUUCUAAUGCAAACAUCCUGAAACAUCGCAUGGCAUUAAUGAUGCAUGAGUAUGCUAUCAGAUUCAUUCAUUUGUUCAUUCAUUCAUUACUUAAAAAACUUAGGGAAUAAUCCCACUCACCUGGUGACUAAAGCUUUAACGACGGACUCUGAAAGACUAUCUCACAACCGGGGGUCUCGGGUCCUCGGGUCCGAACUUACAUAGGUGGACUCAAAUGAGGCACCAAACAACAAGAACAUAACUCUAAACAUACCCCCAAAAACCUCCUCAAAACACCUCAAAACAUCCCUAGAAAACAUGCAAGAAAAGGCUGGGAAGGGCACUUUCGGCGGCACCUUCGGCGGCCGGAAGUCCCUCCAGAGCCGAAAGUCAGGCAGGUUCGGCGGCNNN
rnacentral:lncRNA from 1 species